rnacentral:rRNA from 1 species
AAAUGCAAGUCGAGCGGAGAGAGGUAGCUUGCUACCGAUCUUAGCGGCGGACGGGUGAGUAAUGCUUAGGAAUCUGCCUAUUAGUGGGGGACAACAUUUCGAAAGGAAUGCUAAUACCGCAUACGUCCUACGGGAGAAAGCAGGGGAUCUUCGGACCUUGCGCUAAUAGAUGAGCCUAAGUCGGAUUAGCUAGUUGGUGGGGUAAAGGCCUACCAAGGCGACGAUCUGUAGCGGGUCUGAGAGGAUGAUCCGCCACACUGGGACUGAGACACGGCCCAGACUCCUACGGGAGGCAGCAGUGGGGAAUAUUGGACAAUGGGCGCAAGCCUGAUCCAGCCAUGCCGCGUGUGUGAAGAAGGCCUUAUGGUUGUAAAGCACUUUAAGCGAGGAGGAGGCUACUUUAGUUAAUACCUAGAGAUAGUGGACGUUACUCGCAGAAUAAGCACCGGCUAACUCUGUGCCAGCAGCCGCGGUAAUACAGAGGGUGCAAGCGUUAAUCGGAUUUACUGGGCGUAAAGCGCGCGUAGGCGGCUAAUUAAGUCAAAUGUGAAAUCCCCGAGCUUAACUUGGGAAUUGCAUUCGAUACUGGUUAGCUAGAGUGUGGGAGAGGAUGGUAGAAUUCCAGGUGUAGCGGUGAAAUGCGUAGAGAUCUGGAGGAAUACCGAUGGCGAAGGCAGCCAUCUGGCCUAACACUGACGCUGAGGUGCGAAAGCAUGGGGAGCAAACAGGAUUAGU